rnacentral:misc_RNA from 1 species
AAAGUCGUAACAAGGUUUCCGUAGGUGAACCUGCGGAAGGAUCAUUAUCGUGGGGCUUCGGCCCUCUCGAGAUAGAACCCUUGCCUUUUUGAGUACCUUUCGUUUCCUCGGCAGGCUCGCCUGCCAAUGGGGACCCGAACACAAACCUUUUAUCAACCGUCACUGUCUGAGAAAACAAAACAAAAAUCAAAACUUUCAACAACGGAUCUCUUGGUUCUG